UACGAAGGGGGCUAGCGUUGCUCGGAAUGACUGGGCGUAAAGGGCGCGUAGGCGGAUCCCGCCGUCGGGCGUGAAAUCCCCGGGCUCAACCCGGGGCGGUCACCCGAGACUCGGGGUCUGGAGUGGGGGAGAGGGUCGCGGAAUUCCCAGUGUAGAGGUGAAAUUCGUAGAUAUUGGGAAGAACACCGGUGGCGAAGGCGGCGACCUGGCCCUCGACUGACGCUGAGGCGCGACAGCGUGGGGAGCAAACAGG
rnacentral:rRNA from 1 species